AAGUCGUAACAAGGUUUCCGUAGGUGAACCUGCGGAAGGAUCAUUACCACAUCCAAAAUCUUUUAUCAACCCACACAUGUGAAGUUAUGAUGAGGAACUUUUUUUUCUUCAAUCAUUUUGAACCCCUUUUGAACUCUUUGAAGUGAAAAAGCAAGACUAAACAAAAAUGAGAAAAGAGAAAACAACUUUUAACGGUGGAUCUCUUGGCUCGU
rnacentral:misc_RNA from 1 species